CCAGCAAGUGCUAUAAAUGAAUCAGUCACUAAUCAUCUACAGCACAGAGCUGACUGGCCUUUAUUCAUAUAAAACAUGAUGAACAACACUGCCUGGGAAGAGCUGAAGAUUUCUCUCAUGAUGGAAAAUAAAUAUUGCAGGGGAGGGGAGAGGUUCCCCUGGCAUCCUUUCCAUCUCCAGUGUCUCCGGGAUGCUGACAGCUAAGUUGGACAGAGGAAGAGACACGUGAGAAAAAGAGAAAGUGGUCCUCAACUUAUUCUACAGCUUGUGACGUUUAUCCGGUUCAGACCUGACCUGCUCUCCAUCAAGUUUAUAAAUGUCUCGCCACCUUUUGUGGCUUUAGCAAGAUGUUAGAAACGGAAGCCACUCUAUGUUCUGGAAUGCUGCCCCUCGCCUUUCUGUUCUGGGUCGAUAUUUACCACUGUGCCUGUGCAAGAGAGACCUGUUCCCCCACUGUGCACGGUGAUGGUGGAAGCCACAUUGCUUUUCAGCAUGGAGUAAGAAAUGGGAUAGAAUGAGAUGAUUCUGAAGAGCAUGUUCUGCAAAGGAGAACAGAGAGAACACGUGGAAGCCUGCAGAGCUGCUCUUGCUGGGUGUAGCUCUCAGCUACUGCUCCAGAGCCAUGACUGCUGCCAUGUUUCCCACCAUGAUGACAAUGAACUAAGCCUCUGAAACUGUAAGUAAGCCCCAAUUAAAUGCUUUCCUUUAUAAAAGUUGCCUUGGUCACGUACCUCUUCACAGUAAUAGAACAGUGACUAAGACGGAUAUUUAAAGGCAAUUAUCAAAACUUGAAAAAGAAAAAGUUGGGCCAGAGAAAUAACUCAGCAGGUGGAAGUCCCCAAGAACAGUGACCUGAAUUUGAUGCCCUGAUCCAUAUGUAGAAGGAGAGAAUGGACUCCCAUAGGCUUUCCCAAGUCUACACAGGUGUACUGUGCCAUACACUCCCCUCUCCUGAUAUACAGAUAAAAAAUGUAGCAAAAAAUGUUUUUAAAAGAAAAAAAAGCUAAACUAAUUUGUUUUGUUUUGUUUUUGUUGUUUUGAGACAGGGUCUCCUGGAACUCACAGAGAUCCACUUGCCUCUGCAUGGGAUUAAAGUUGAGGAUCACCACGCCUCACUCAUAAAACCCAUUUUAAAGCAGCUGCUCCUUCUGGCUGCUUCUAGAAGGAGGCCCUUUUUCCUACCAUCAUUUUUAUAUCAUUUGAAGGAUGUUUUGCAAACUUACAUUUCCUUCAUUCCUAUAAAGCCAUGUGGAACCCUUUCUGAGGAUAAUGUGCGAUGUAAACACGCCAAUAAAACAAAGACUCUUUCCCAGGGAGAAAAUAUCAUCUUGGUAGUGGCUACAAUAGGAAACAGAAUCAUUUACUCAAGGAAAAAUAAGCAAGGCUCAUGAGCCUGAAGACCAAGACUGGGUUAAGCUUUUCUUGGCUGUGGGAUACUUGGCAUGCGAUCGGCCCUCCAUACUUAUUUGUUAGCUAAGUGAAAUAUGUACUGUCACAAGCUGGCUGAACUUCUUGAUGCUUUUAGAGAGUGAAAUGGGGUUAAAAGAUGUGAAGGGUAGUUAAUUUAUCGUCUAAGAGUCUCUUCUCCAGGAAGAGAGCUCAGUUCCUUGAAGAUAAAUGAUUACUAUUUUUAUCAUCUCAAGCCUUACAUGAUUCUUUCAGCAGCUCUCUCCGGCCAGCUACUCCUCAGCCAGGGAGUUUACACUUAUUUAGAGUUAAGAUCUGUUGGUUUUCCUGUCUCUGGAUAUCCAAGAAUAUACACAUAUACACAAUAUUCACAUAUUAUGCAUUAAUUAUGCAAUUAUAUAAGAGAAUAUUUAUACAAUUGUGCAAUAAUUAUAAUAUAAUUAACUAUCUGAUAAUUAUAUAAUCUAUAAAUACAAAUAUGCAUAAAUAUAAUAUAUAAUAUAUAUUUUUUUUUAUAUAUAUACUGUGGGAGGCCAGUUUCCACCUUUUAAAGGGUUCCUAUGAGAAGGAGAGACAGAUAAGAAACAUUUUAGAUAGAAAGACAGCAAAGAGGAGAAAGACAGAAACACAGGAUAGCUUCAGGAGGACCUGGACCAAAACCCAGCGGUUCCUUCUGCCUCUUCAAAAGGGCUUUUUAUAGCAAUGCCAAGGGGUGGGGCCAAAGACCUCCCCCUUGCUAGACACAGCCAAGUUCAGACCCUUCCAAAUACCUGGUAACCACGCCUGUGGUCCAAUCAUCCCCUUAAGCAGUCCUGCUGGGUAAAUCAAUCUCAGAUCUCACUAGGAAACCUCUGUGGACUCCUACAAUAUACACAUAUAUUUGUGUGUGUGCGCACAUAUGUAUGUAUGUAUGUAUGUAUGUAUGUAUGUAUGUAUGUUUGGGUUGUAGAAAUAUAGAAAUGAGAUCUUUUUGCCAGGCCCACAAGUUGAAUUAAUGAUUUCCCAGCAGUGGCAUCUGUUGGAAAAAAAAUCUUCAUUUGGCUCAAACCAAUUCUGCAGCCUUUAUUUUGCUCAAACCCGAUAGCUGAGGCAACACCCUACUAUAAUAGUUCAGCUGUGAUCACUCCUGGUAAUUGUCUCUGAAAGGCUUGUCUUCAAGUCCUGCAUGUCUGUCAGACCUUCCUUAGGUCAGCCAAGGACAACUGUCUGAUGAUUUCCGUCUGGGUCUUAAUAAGCGCCACCUACACCCAGGUGUUUGGCAGUUAUCACUGAACAAACACCCCCAGGAGAGGGGUGUAGGGAGGAGAGAAAGCCAUCAGCUUUUGAGACAGGACAGAGCUCAGCCUGGCUGCUAGAACACUCCCGAAGGCCCUCUGUCCAGGCUGACUUUGCUUUCCUUUGGUAGAGUUAGAAGAAGGAGCUUGUUGGCUGGCCCGUGGCUGUGCUGAGGGGAAGCAGCCCGCGUAGGCUGGAGUGAAGCGGUUAGUCAUUCCUCCACCUUUCUUAGCUAUCCCUGCACUGAGGUUACCUCUUCUAAGAGCAGAGACAAAGAUCAUGUUAUGUUCGGUGCCAAGGGCUGGACCCGGGAAGGUGCUGGCGAGAGGUGAUGACUGGCUGGUUUUUCUGUAGACAAAUUGGCCAGGAGGAUUUUUACAAAGUUGGCCUCGGGAAUUACGUCCUUUCUUCUUCCUUUUUUUUUUUUUUUUUCUGACGAUAAUGAAUGAACCAUGUUGAGCUUGUUUGCAAUCAGACAACAAGUCCCCAUUCAUUAGCAACCAGAGCAGGCUCCCAGCUCUGGGACCCUGAAAGUGCUGCUCCCUGCUCCAUCCAAGGUUGAGCAAUUUUAGCGUUCAGCCUCAGGGCUGCCGACUCAGGUGUCCUGGGAGUCCUUGGAUGUUGAUGCAGGCGGCAGAGAGAGAGCCGACUGUCUCCCUUGCUUGAAUUUAUAGAGCUCAUGGCUUGUCAUCUGUUUCAGGGAUAUGGAGUAACUAAAGACACAGGAGUUUCAAUUUUUAUCUUGUGUUAUAAGGGAAGGGAAUUAUCAUAUAGCUGCUGGGCCCUGGAUGACUCAGCCUUCAGUCUUCUCAUGGGAGUUGCCCCAGAGGACACUUCUUCACCGAAACAAACAAGAGUCCACCCAUGAUCUGGCCCUGAUCUGCCUUGAAAAUAAAGGAUGUGAAUUCGGAUUUUUCAAUUUUUUUUUUAUUUUCAAAAGCAAAAGUCAAUUUAUGAUUUGGGUUUUAAUUAAUUUAUUAUUAUUGUUACUUCUGCUUUGUUGAGAUAAGGUGUCACUAUGAAGCUUAAGCAGGCCUUGAGCUUGUGACCCUCCUGUCUCAGGCCCGCAAGGACUUCUGGGGUUAUAGGCACACUCCACCAUGCCUGGCUCUGAAAGAAAAAUGAUGCUCGCCUUGACACUGGACAUGGUUGUUGCUUGUGUGCUUGUGCUUGUGAAAUGGGAGAUGUAGUGUUUGGGGGACAAUAUGGCAGAGACAGUGUGAUGGGGUGUGGUGGGGACAGUGUGGUGAGGACAGUGAUGGGGAUGGUGUGACGGGAACAGUGUGGUGGGGACAGGGUGAUGGGUGUGGUGGUUGUGAGGAGCCUGUGGGGUACUGGCACUUAAUUGCUGUAGCCAUCAGUCAAAGCACAUUUGUGUCCCCAGAUCCUCUGAUCCGCACUUGGGCCCAGAUGGCAAAGGUGUAGAAGACCCUAGGGAUGCCAUGCCGAGCCGAGCCAAAGCCAGCGUCUCUACACCAGCUCCAUGAACUGUCUGCCAUAUUGUGCCUGGAUUUCCUUGCCUGCCAAAGAAAUUCCCAUCAGUGUUUACUUCAGAGCCUGGCUGUGAUGGUUAGAUGCAUUAAGGACUCUGACACAUGAAUGUGUUUAUGGAAUAUAAUUUCAUUAGAUUUAAUGCAUUCAGUGGAGAGCUAUCUUCAUAAGUACAAUGUAAGAAUAAAUUGCAUAUAUAUUAUA